rfam:Salmo salar isolate Sally breed double haploid chromosome ssa13, whole genome shotgun sequence.
UGCGCGCAUCACUGUUAAGUCGCUUUGGAUAAAAGCGUCUGCUAUAUGGCAUAAA